rnacentral:rRNA from 1 species
GACGAACGCUGGCGGCGUGCUUAACACAUGCAAGUCGAACGGUGAAGCGCCUUCCUUUUUGGUGGGUGUGGAUGAGUGGCGCACGGGUGAGUAACACGUGAGUAACCUGCCCCCUUCUUCUGGAUAACCGCAUGAAAGUGUGGCUAAUACGGGAUAUUCUGGUUCUGUCGCAUGAUGGGUCUGGGAAAGAUAUUGUUUCGGUGGGGGAUGGGCUCGCGGCCUAUCAGCUUGUUGGUGGGGUGAUGGCCUACCAAGGCGGUGACGGGUAGCCGGCCUGAGAGGGUGGACGGUCACACUGGGACUGAGACACGGCCCAGACUCCUACGGGAGGCAGCAGUGGGGAAUAUUGCACAAUGGGCGCAAGCCUGAUGCAGCGACGCCGCGUGAGGGAUGGAGGCCUUCGGGUUGUGAACCCCUUUCGCCAGUGAAGCAGGCCUGCCUCGUUUGUGGGUGGGUUGACGGUAGCUGGAUAAGAAGCGCCGGCUAACUAC